rnacentral:lncRNA from 1 species
AGCUGCAUACCUUUUACCCCAAACACAGAAGGAGGACAGAGCAGAAGCAUAAGGGUGUUUCCAAUCCCAUGACUAAAGCAGAGAACUAUUGGAAGACUCUAGCAUUGAAGGACUAGGCCCAUCUGACCCCAUUUUACUCUUGUCCAGUGUACAGCAGAGACACUUGGGGACACAUGCCUGUGGCACCCGACUAUCCACCUUGAGGAAAGUGAGAGCCCCAAUUUUAAAUUCAGUCUGGUUUGAGUGAAAGCUAAAUUCACCCUUGUUUGCUCAUUGAUGGGACCAAUCUUCUCCAAGCUGCCACUUUCUAAAAAAUAAAUCAUAUUGCUAUAAAUGCAAACUUCAGCAAAGAUGUUUGUUAGAAAAUUUUAUUAACACUCAAGCCACCUAACAAGAAACCAGAAAGUUAGCAAGAGCAUUCAGUUUCAGGAGAGUUUGGCCCAAUAGAGCACAGUCACUGAGAGAAAAGAUCCUUGAGUUGAACGGAAGUGAUCCUUUCUGUCCUGGGUCGUCCUGCUAACUUCAGUGGGCUGGGCAAGCAGCUGCCCAUUCUAACAGAUA